rnacentral:rRNA from 1 species
ACGCUCGACACCUACGGGAGGCAGCAGUGGGGAAUAUUGCACAAUGGGGGAAACCCUGAUGCAGCGACGCCGCGUGGAGGAAGAAGGUCUUCGGAUUGUAAACUCCUGUUGUUGGGGAAAAAGAGGAUGGUACCCAACAAGGAAGUGACGGCUAACUACGUGCAAGCAGCCGCGGUAAUCUGAGGCGGGCUGGCAAGGC